rnacentral:rRNA from 1 species
GAUGAGCGCUGGCUACAGGCUUAACACAUGCAAGUCGAGGGGAAACGACGGGGAAGCUUGCUUCCCCGGGCGUCGACCGGCGCACGGGUGAGUAACGCGUAUCCAACCUGCCUCUGACUGAGGGAUAACCCGUCGAAAGUCGGCCUAAUACCUCAUGGCAUCGUCUGCGGGCAUCCAACGACGAUUAAAGAUUUCAUCGGUCAGGGAUGGGGAUGCGUCUGAUUAGCUUGUUGGCGGGGUAACGGCCCACCAAGGCUACGAUCAGUAGGGGUUCUGAGAGGAAGGUCCCCCACAUUGGAACUGAGACACGGUCCAAACUCCUACGGGAGGCAGCAGUGAGGAAUAUUGGUCAAUGGGCGGGAGCCUGAACCAGCCAAGUAGCGUGCAGGAUGACGGCCCUAUGGGUUGUAAACUGCUUUUAUGCGGGGAUAAAGUGAGGGACGUGUCCUUCAUUGCAGGUACCGCAUGAAUAAGAACCGGCUAAUUUCGUG